AAACCGUUCAGGGGUAAACCUGAGAAACCCAAAAGAUCGAAUGGGGAGAUUCAUCGUCAGCUCAUUUUGUAUAUAUAUUAGUUAUGAUAUGGGUUACUACUUGUAGUAUUGCCUGUACAUUCUUUUAUAUUUAAUUGCAAGAUGUUGUCGGCGUGCACUUCUCCCCUAGUAGGACGUCGCAACCCGUUGAGUGUCGGUUUACGGCUCAAGUUGGUAGCCUUUAAUUUAUUUAUAAAUUAAAGACCCUUGAUGUUUUCUAACUGGCUGCUCGGCGGUAUUCGUAUGGUAUUAGGCCGCAUAUAUAUGCGUUUAUAUCUGUCGCAAGCGCGGUCAAUUUUUGGUAGUACGGACCUAGUGCCGUCGCUAUAAUUGAUCAGCUGUUGGUUGUACGGUAUUCUAUAACUGGCUUAUAAAUAUAUAUACCGGUUUGCGAUGCUACUGCUUUGGGUACUUUCAGGA
rnacentral:rRNA from 1 species